rnacentral:rRNA from 1 species
CAUGGCUCAGGAUGAACGCUAGCGGCAUGCCUAACACAUGCAAGUCGAGGGAGGAGCUUUCGGGCUUCGACCGGCGUACGGGUGCGUAACGCGUAUACAAUCUGCCUUUCACAUAGGGAUAGCCCGAAGAAAUUUGGAUUAAUACCUAAUGGUAUAUAGAUGUGGCACCACAUUUAUAUUAAAGCUGAGGCGGUGAAAGAUGAGUAUGCGUUCUAUUAGCUAGUUGGAGAGGUAACGGCUCCCAAAGGCUAGGAUAGAUAGGGGUUCUGAGAGGGAUAUCCCCCACACGGUACUGAGAUACGGACCAGACUCCUACGG